CGAUCAAGGGCAGAUAAUCUUACGUUGUAAAGCGCAAAAAAUUUAAAGAUUGGCGUCGUUCAUUGUUGGUUAUUUCUUAUCUGCACAAUUCAAACUUCACUAUUGUUUUAAAAAACUCAAAAUGGUUAUCUAAAGCGGUUUAUCGAUAAAUUUCAACAGCGAUCGCCUUACUAAAUCGAAACUAAGAAUCAGAUUAAAACAUAAAUAUUGGACGGAGCUAACGUUAUGAACGGUUAAGGGGUAUUCAUGAGCUGAAAUCUAUUGGAGGCCUUUACCUGACUGCAAAACUCACUUAUAUGACAGCUGUUAAUUUGAUAAAAUUGUUUCAAUCUCUACAUUUGCCAAAUUAUAUGAACAGAAUGCUAAUAAUGUUAUUAUAACUUGUUUACAACAAAAUGAUUAAGCUUACAGUACUUGGUUUUUGUCUUUUUGUAACACAUGCCAGUAUUUACGAAGCGAAGUAGGUUGUUUAAAUUAUAUAUUGAAGCUUACUUUAAUGUAAAAUAAAAUGUUCAUGUUUUCAUAUCUUACAGCUAUUGCUGAAAAUGGUGAAGCACAGAGUACACAAGUUCCACUGCUUAAAGAAGAUGUCAGACAUGUCCAAGAAAAUGAAACCAAUUCAGAAAAGCCAGAUUUUUGGGCUCUACAUGAAAAGACAAAAACAAAGAAAGGUAACUUGACAAAUACAAUUUGAUCUUGUGUUGAUUA